CUGAUUUACAGGAACCAUAAGAAAAGAGAAGUCCAGAUGCUUCUGAGAGGGUCCCAGCUCCUGAUUUGCAUAUGUGGAUGGCUCAGAUCAAGGCUAUCUGUUCAGCAAUACCAGUCAACCCCUACCAAGGAGUCACUGAGUUUUCCCAAGCACACAUAUUACUUCCCUUUUUUAGACAAAGACAGAAUGGCAGUUUCCUUCUACCCAUUUCUGAUCUUUUCAUCCUCUUUGUUCUUACUCCAAAAUGGAUGUUUAUUCUGAAUUAGAUGCCUAUUACUGAACCCUAGAGGUACUGAAGGAAUACCUGAGAUGCAGAUGAAGUCAUGACAACAAUUGUGACAUCACAGAAGAAAAAUCUCUCCAGGUUACAAGAGAUUUUUCAGGCAAGGCCUAAUGAUGAUAUCACUGAGAACUGCCAUGGCCUACCUGCUGAACAGCUUUCCUUACAUUGACCAUAUUUGAGGGUGUCCUUUCCUGGAACCACUUGAAGCAGGGAAGUCCAGAUGCUUCUGACAGGCUCCGAGCUCCGAGCUCCUGAUCCCAUGUGUGGAAGGCUCAGAUCAAUUCUAUCUCUUCAAGACAGGAGGGUAGCAUUAUUGUCCUCUGCAAGACUCAACAGAGCAGCCGACUGACACAGGUGCACAGACAUACGGCCAAAUAUCGAAUGGAGCUCAGUGAGUCUCACUGAAGGGCUGAGGGAAGUGCAGACAGAGACAGAGGAGCACAAUGGUCCUCACGUGGGGUCACUAAACCAGUCGCUUGUCUGUGGAUCCUGUUCUCCUACCCGGGCUGCGUUUUCAGGACCUGGUGGGAGACGAUGAAUCUAGUUGAGUAGAGACUUGAUGUGCCAGGGGAGAGGGUGAACCCAGAGGGGUCCUCCACUCUCUCAGAUAAGAAGGGGAGAGGAUAGAAGGAGGGCGUAUAAAUGGUAGGAGCCUGGAGGAGUGUGGUUCCAGGGCAGCAUUCAGAAUGCUACCUGGUGAAUAGAUGCAACCAUUCUAGCAAGGGACUCAGGCAUGACAUCACUGGGAAGGGGGCGGGACAUCAUGGGUGUGGGACAUGACAUCAUGGUGGUGGGGCAUGACAUCACGAUUAUCCAUCAGAAGUAAUUAUCUGGCUAAACAUUCAUCACGAGUGUCAGCUCCA